AAGCUUGCUCUCGGGUGACGAGCGGCGGACSGGUGAGUAAUGUCUGGGAAACUGCCUGAUGGAGGGGGAUAACUACUGGAAACGGUAGCUAAUACCGCAUAACGUCGCAAGACCAAAGUGGGGGACCUUCGGGCCUCAUGCCAUCAGAUGUGCCCAGAUGGGAUUAGCUAGUAGGUGGGGUAACGGCUCACCUAGGCGACGAUCCCUAGCUGGUCUGAGAGGAUGACCAGCCACACUGGAACUGAGACACGGUCCAGACUCCUACGGGAGGCAGCAGUGGGGAAUAUUGCACAAUGGGCGCAAGCCUGAUGCAGCCAUGCCGCGUGUGUGAAGAAGGCCUUCGGGUUGUAAAGCACUUUCAGCGGGGAGGAAGGCGKURAGGUUAAUAACCUYGKCGAUUGACGUUACCCGCAGAAGAAGCACCGGCUAACUCCGUGCCAGCAGCCGCGGUAAUACGGAGGGUGCAAGCGUUAAUCGGAAUUACUGGGCGUAAAGCGCACGCAGGCGGUCUGUCAAGUCGGAUGUGAAAUCCCCGGGCUCAACCUGGGAACUGCMUUCGAAACUGGCAGGCUAGAGUCUUGUAGAGGGGGGUAGAAUUCCAGGUGUAGCGGUGAAAUGCGUAGAGAUCUGGAGGAAUACCGGUGGCGAAGGCGGCCCCCUGGACCAA
rnacentral:rRNA from 1 species